rnacentral:rRNA from 1 species
GACGAACGCUGGCGGCGUGCUUAACACAUGCAAGUCGAACGGAAAGGCCCUGCUUUUGUGGGGUGCUCGAGUGGCGAACGGGUGAGUAACACGUGAGUAACCUGCCCUUGACUUUGGGAUAACUUCAGGAAACUGGGGCUAAUACCGGAUAGGAGCUCCUGCUGCAUGGUGGGGGUUGGAAAGUUUCGGCGGUUGGGGAUGGACUCGCGGCUUAUCAGCUUGUUGGUGGGGUAGUGGCUUACCAAGGCUUUGACGGGUAGCCGGCCUGAGAGGGUGACCGGCCACAUUGGGACUGAGAUACGGCCCAGACUCCUACGGGAGGCAGUAGUGGGGAAUAUUGCACAAUGGGCGGAAGCCUGAUGCAGCAACGCCGCGUGCGGGAUGACGGCCUUCGGGUUGUAAACCGCUUUCGCCUGUGACGAAGCGUGAGUGACGGUAAUGGGUAAAGAAGCACCGGAUAACUACGUG